CCCUUAGAUGUCCUGGGCCGCACGCGCGCUACACUGAACGGAUCAGCGCGUUUUCCCUUCCCGAGAGGGACGGGUAACCUGCUGAACCCCGUUCGUGGUAGGGAUCGGGGCUUGCAAUUAUUCCCCGUGAACCAGGAAUGCCCAGUAAGUGCAAGUCAUAAGCUUGCGUUGAUUACGUCCCUGCCCUUUGUACACACCGCCCGUCGCUACUACCGAUUGAACGUUUUAGUGAGGUACUCGGACUGAGCCUCAGAAGAUGCACGUCUUUUGUGCUGCUCGGGAAGAUUCCCAAACUUGAGCGUUUAGAGGAAGUAAAAGUCGUAACA
rnacentral:rRNA from 1 species